rnacentral:rRNA from 1 species
CGAAAGCCUGAUCCAGCAAUGCCGCGUGAGUGAAGAAGGCCUUCGGGUUGUAAAGCUCUUUUGUCAGGGAAGAAACGGUGAAAGCUAAUAUCUUUUGCUAAUGACGGUACCUGAAGAAUGAGCACCGGCUAACUACGUGCCAGCAGCCGCGGUAAUACGUAGGGUGCAAGCAUUAAUCGGAAUUACUGGGCGUAAAGCGUGCGCAGGCGGUUUUGUAAGUCUGAUGUGAAAUCCCCGGGCUCAACCUGGGAAUUGCAUUGGAGACUGCAAGGCUAGAAUCUGGCAGAGGGGGGUAGAAUUCCA